rnacentral:rRNA from 1 species
CGUACACUCCUACGGGAGGCAGCAGUGAGGAAUAUUGGACAAUGGGUGGAAGCCUGAUCCAGCCAUCCCGCGUGCAGGAAGACGGCCCUAUGGGUUGUAAACUGCUUUUAUCUGGGGAUAAACCUACUUACGUGUAAGUAGCUGAAGGUACCAGAAGAAUAAGCACCGGCUAACUCCGUGCCAGCAGCCGCGGUAAUACGGAGGGUGCAAGCGUUAUCCGGAUUUAUUGGGUUUAAAGGGUCCGUAGGCGGACUGAUAAGUCAGUGGUGAAAUCCGACAGCUUAACUGUCGAACUGCCAUUGAUACUGUUAGUCUUGAGUAAGGUUGAAGUGGCUGGAAUAAGUAGUGUAGCGGUGAAAUGCAUAGAUAUUACUUAGAACACCAAUUGCGAAGGCAGGUCACUAAGUCUUAACUGACGCUGAUGGACGAAAGCGUGGGGAGCGAACAGGAUUAGAAACCCUGGUAGUCCCAUGAU